rnacentral:rRNA from 1 species
CCUACGGGAGGCAGCAGUGGGGAAUCUUGCGCAAUGGGCGAAAGCCUGACGCAGCCAUGCCGCGUGAAUGAUGAAGGUCUUAGGAUUGUAAAAUUCUUUCACCGGGGACGAUAAUGACGGUACCCGGAGAAGAAGCCCCGGCUAACUUCGUGCCAGCAGCCGCGGUAAUACGAAGGGGGCUAGCGUUGCUCGGAAUUACUGGGCGUAAAGGGAGCGUGGGCGGAUAGUUUAGUCAGAGGUGAAAGCCCAGGGCACAACCUUGGAAUUGCCUUUGAUACUGGCUAUCUUGAGUAUGGGAGAGGUUAGCGGAACUCCGAGUGUAGAGGUGAAAUUCGUAGAUAUUCGGAAGAACACCAGUGGCGAAGGCGGCUAACUGGCCCAUUACUGACGCUGAGGCUCGAAAGCGUGGGGAGCAAACAGGAUUAGAUACCCUGGUAGUCCACGCCGUAAACGAUGAGUGCUAGUUGUCGGCAUGCAUGCAUGUCGGUGACGCAGCUAACGCAUUAAGCACUCCGCCUGGGGAUACGGUCGCAAGAUUAAAACNCAAAGGAAUUGACGG